UACAGAGGUGGCAAGCGUUGUUCGGAAUUACUGGGCGUAAAGGGCGCGUAGGCGGCUCGACAAGUCCCGCGUGAAAUCCCCCGGCUCAACUGGGGAACUGCGCGGGAAACUGUCGGACUUGAGUUCGGGAGAGGGAAGCGGAAUUCCGGGUGUAGCGGUGAAAUGCGUAGAUAUCCGGAGGAACACCGGUGGCGAAGGCGGCUUCCUGGACCGACACUGACGCUGAGGCGCGAAAGCUAGGGGAGCAAACGGG
rnacentral:rRNA from 1 species